rnacentral:rRNA from 1 species
AACGAACGCUGGCGGCAUGCCUAACACAUGCAAGUCGAACGAGAUCUUCGGGUCUAGUGGCGCACGGGUGCGUAACGCGUGGGAAUCUGCCCUUUGGUUCGGAAUAACAGUUGGAAACGACUGCUAAUACCGGAUGAUGACGAAAGUCCAAAGAUUUAUCGCCAGAGGAUGAGCCCGGGUAGGAUUAGCAAGUUGGUGUGGUAAAGGCGCACCAAGGCGACGAUCCUUAGAUGGUCUGAGAGGAUGAUCAGCCACACUGGGACUGAUACACGGCCCAGACUACUACGGGAGGCAGCAGUGGGGAAGAUUGGACAAUGGGCGAAAGCCUGAUCCAGCAAUGCCGCGUGAGUGAUGAAGGCCUUAGGGUUGUAAAGCUCUUUUACCCGGGAUGAUAAUGACAGUACCGGGAGAAUAAGCUCCGGCUAACUCCGUGCCAGCCGCCGCCGUAA